rnacentral:rRNA from 1 species
CAUGCAAGUCGAGCGAUGAAAUCUUAACAGAACCCUUCGGGGCGAAGAUAAGAUGGAUUAGCGGCGGACGGGUGAGUAACACGUGAGUAACCUGCCUUUUACACAGGGAUAGCCUCGGGAAACCGGGAUUAAAACCUGAUGAAACUAUCAAAUCACAUGAUUAAGAAAGUUAAAACUCCGGUGGUAAAAGAUGGACUCGCGUCCCAUUAGCUAGUUGGUGAAGGUAACGGCCCACCAAGGCAACGAUGGGUAGCCGGCCUGAGAGGGUGAACGGCCACAUUGGAACUGAGAAACGGUCCAAACUCCUACGGGAGGCAGCAGUGGGGAAUAUUGCACAAUGGGGGAAACCCUGAUGCAGCGACGCCGCGUGAGCGAAGAAGGCCUUCGGGUCGUAAAGCUCUUUUAUAUGGGAAGAUAAUGACGGUACCAUAAGAAAAAGCCCCGGCUAACUACGUGCCAGCAGCCGCGGUAAUACGUAGGGGGCUAGCGUUGUCCGGAAUCACUGGGCGUAAAGGGUUCGCAGGCGGCAAUGCAAGUCAGAUGUAAAAGGCAAAGGCUCAACCUUUGUAAGCAUCUGAAACUGUAUAGCUUGAGAAGUGUAGAGGCAAGUGGAAUUUUUAGUGUAGCGGUGAAAUGCGUAGAUAUUAAAAAGAAUACCGGUGGCGAAGGCGACUUGCUGGGCACAAUCUGACGCUGAGGAACGAAAGCGUGGGGAGCAAACAGGAUUAGAUACCCUGGUAGUCCACGCCGUAAACGAUGAGUGCUAGGUGUCGGUAUAAAUCGGUGCCGCAGUUAACACAAUAAGCACUCCGCCUGGGGAGUACGUGCGCAAGCAUGAAACUCAAAGGAAUUGACGGG